rnacentral:rRNA from 1 species
CCUACGGGUGGCAGCAGUGGGGAAUCUUGCGCAAUGGGCGAAAGCCUGACGCAGCGACGCCGCGUGUGCGAUGAAGGUCUUCGGAUCGUAAAGCACUGUCGCCCGGGACAAAUGCCCGCAAGGGAGAGAUGGUACCGGGAGAGGAAGCACCGGCUAACUCUGUGCCAGCAGCCGCGGUAAUACAGAGGGUGCGAGCGUUGUUCGGAAUUAUUGGGCGUAAAGCGCAUGUAGGCGGGCCAUCAAGUCGCGUGUGAAAGCCCCAGGCUCAACCUGGGAAGUGCGCGCGAAACUGGAGGCCUUGAGUGCUGGAGAGGGUGGCGGAAUUCCCGGUGUAGAGGUGAAAUUCGUAGAUAUCGGGAGGAACACCAGAGGCGAAGGCGGCCACCUGGACAGACACUGACGCUGAGACGCGAAAGCGUGGGGAGCAAACAGGAUUAGAUACCCCUGUAGUC